CCACUGCGCUAUAGCCGCCCACGCGCCCCCGCCGCCUCCCUCUCCCCUUCCUCCCCCUCGAGCGCCGCCUCCCCCCGAGCCUCGCCUCCCCCCUCCCCCCCGAGCACCGCCUCCCUCGCCUUCCUCGAAACCCUAGAAACCCACAGGAGAUUUGGAGCCUCGGAGCCGCCGGAGACUUGGAGCCUCGGAGCCGCACCAUGUUCACCAGGAGAGGAGGCCCCACAUCCACCAGGAGAGGAGGCCCGCGACCUCCCCACCGUCUAUCCCCGCCUCCCCCAAGCUCGCUGUCUCUGCCCUCCGUCGUCUCCGCUCCGUCCACCACCUCAUCGUGGUCAGGACUCUGUUUUGUGUUGACCAUGAAUCACUGUGAAAAAUGCUCUUGUCAAGGUGAAAUCACUAUGAAAAAUUCUCUUGUCAAGGUGAAAUCUAAGCAGUACUGUACUGGCAAGAAAAAAAGGAUAAAAGACAAAAAUUAUUGUCAUCUAGGAAGGGGUCGUAUGGAACCGCAGAACUGUUAAGAGUGAUUUGGAGGAUUCAAGAUUCUGUGAAGCUCUUUUGACAUUUAAAACUCAGAACUGAAGGAUAUGUUGUCAUCAUCAUCGGACGA